GGGUCGUUAGCUCAACUGGAAGAGCAGGGGACUCUUAAUCCCAAGGUUACAGGUUCGAGUCCUGUACGACCCA
rnacentral:tRNA from 1 species